rnacentral:rRNA from 1 species
CUACGGGGUGCUGCAGUGGGGAAUAUUGGACAAUGGGGGAAACCCUGAUCCAGCAAUGCCGCGUGUGUGAAGAAGGCCUGCGGGUUGUAAAGCACUUUCGGUUGGGAGGACUGCUUCUAGCACUAAUAUUGUUGGAAGUUGACGUUACCUUCAGAAGAAGCACCGGCUAACUCCGUGCCAGCAGCCGCGGUAAUACGGAGAGUGCAAGCGUUAAUCGGAAUUACUGGGCGUAAAGCGCGCGUAGGCGGCUAGAUCAGUCGGGUGUGAAAGCCCCGGGCUUAACCUGGGAACUGCAUCCGAUACUGUCUAGCUUGAGUACAGGAGAGGAGAGUGGAAUUCCACAUGUAGCGGUGAAAUGCGUAGAUAUGUGGAAGAACACCAAUGGCGAAGGCAGCUCUCUGGCCUGAUACUGACGCUGAGGUGCGAAAGCGUGGGGAGCAAACAGGAUUAGAUACCCCAGUAGUC